GUCAUUAUUUAUGGCGGGGGGUGGCACCGAAGAGAAAAGGGUUGGGUAAACAAAAUUUUGAGUAAGUAAAAGGUUGGGUAAAUGGAAAACAAAACAACUCAAGGGUUGGGUAAUGUCAUUUCAAAAACAUGACUCACUGUCAAAAUAUUGUUGAUUGAAAAGCAAUUUCAACAGUCAUUUGUCAAUACAAUAUGUGAAUCAAUCACAGUCACUAUCUUGAUCAUUUUGACAAAACAAAUGGUGUUUCCAAAGAAAUUACAUGUGCAGACAACAUGAAAUUUUAGACUGCAGAAAAUUUCACAAGCCGUUAUCAAACUCAUGUCACAGAAGUGGUAAAGGACAUGUGUGACAACUGAAUGGUAUCUUUUUGUAACGUUUUUGGCCAGGGGUGGGUAAUUAUUUUUUAAUUGAUAUUUGUGGUUGGGUAAUCAAAUUUUUGUCUUUUUAAUAGUUGGGUCAGCAAAAUUUUUGCCACGAAAAACAUUUCUCUUCGGUGCCACCCCCCACCAUAAAUAAUGACCGGUCCCUAAGUUUAAAAGUGGUCCAGAAAUCCCGGUAUAUUUGUAAUAAAAAUAUCAAACAUCCAGUAUUUUGAGACAUUG